rnacentral:piRNA from 1 species
CAAGAACACAUGCCUCACUUC